GCCCGUGUAGUGCAGUGAGAUAACUUGUCCUCUUUGGGAAAAGGUGCCUCCCUCAUGUGAUCGUCAGAACCCAGCCAGAGGACGCAUGAGGGCAGAGCCUGGACCAAGGGCCAAAGGCAACAAGCCCAAGCUGAGAACCGAGACAUGAAGUCAUCAACAGUCACUGCUGCUCCAAACACACCCUACGGUAGAGCCUGAGGUGACCAUGGAGUGGCCAAGAGUCCCCAUUCCCUUGAUAUAGCAAGGUCAAGAGUCCCAGCCUUGGAGAGGUCAAUAGGCUUAGAUGGCCACAUCUCGUGUUCAGUCUUGACCCUUGCAUCUUGACCCUUGACGUUGUACAAGUAUUAAGCAUGAGAGGUCUUACGCUCGGAUCUCCCAUGUUCUCCACCAAAAGGUUUAAAGCUUGGUAGCUUUCAGAAAAGUGCACCCCAUC